CGCUGGCGGCAGGCCUAACACAUGCAAGUCGAGCGAACCCUUCGGGGUUAGCGGCGGACGGGUUAGUAACGCGUGGGAAUAUACCCUUUGGUACGGAAUAGCCUCGGGAAACUGAGAGUAAUACCGUAUGUGCCCCUUCGGGGGGAAAGAUUUAUCGCCAAAGGAUUAGCCCGCGGUUGGAUUAGAUAGUUGGUGGGGUAAUGGCCUACCAAGUCUACGAUCCAUAGCNGGUUUGAGAGGAUGAUCAGCAACACUGGGACUGAGACAGGCCCAGACUCCUACGGGAGGCAGCAUGGGGAAUCUUAGACAAUGGGCGCAAGCCUGAUCUAGCCAUGCCGCGUGGACGAUGAAGGCCUUAGGGUUGUAAAGUCCUUUCAGAUGGGAAGAUAAUGACGGUACCAUCAGAAGAAGCCCCGGCUAACUCCGUG
rnacentral:rRNA from 1 species